AAUCUUAUAUUUUACAUGUUGAAUAUUAAUUUGCAAAAUUAAAGGUGUUAAUUAUUAACUAAGAUUU
rnacentral:tRNA from 1 species